rnacentral:rRNA from 1 species
UACAGAGGUCUCAAGCGUUGUUCGGAUUCAUUGGGCGUAAAGGGUGCGUAGGUGGCGGGGUAAGUCUGGUGUGAAAUCUCGGGGCUCAACCCCGAAACUGCACUGGAUACUGCCUUGCUCGAGUACUGGAGAGGAGAGUGGAAUUUACGGUGUAGCAGUGAAAUGCGUAGAUAUCGUAAGGAAGACCAGUGGCGAAGGCGAAUCUCUGGACAGUUACUGACACUGAGGCACGAAGGCCAGGGGAGCAAACGGG